rnacentral:sRNA from 1 species
UUUCUUUUCUUUAAAUAUCUGGAAGUUCAAGCCCAAAUGCCUACAUUUCUCAGAGGCGGGACCCACACCAAGUUAAAUUCAUCUCUUUUAGAGAAGAGAUCCCUCCCAACGUGACUCGAACCCAGCACUUCCACCGGGGAGAUUUACCGUUGGGCCAACAGCACGUUGGUCUUUUUAGUACUAUUUUUGUCAAUCUUUUCUCUUAAAAAAUCAGAAAUUAAGAUUUUCUCUCUAUAGGAGACCGCCGCUACGAGAACGGAUUACAAGUCUGGUUCUCGACAAGACUUUAGAAUAACUCUGUUCUUUCUAUUAAGCUCUCAGUUUGUAAUUUCUUAUCAAAAAAAUAUUUCAACUUUCUUAGGAUUAAGCUGAUGUAAAAUGUUA